UACGUAGGGUGCAAGCGUUAAUCGGAAUUACUGGGCGUAAAGCGUGCGUAGACGGUUAUGUAAGUCGGGUGUGAAAGCCCCGGGCUCAACCUGGGAAUUGCAUUCGAGACUGCAUAGCUAGGGUGCGGAAGAGGGAAGCGGAAUUUCCGGUGUAGCGGUGAAAUGCGUAGAUAUCGGAAGGAACACCAGUGGCGAAAGCGGCUCCCUGGUCCAGCACCGACGUUCAGGCACGAAAGCGUGGGGAGCAAACAGG
rnacentral:rRNA from 1 species